UACGGGGGGGGCAAGCGUUGUUCGGAAUUACUGGGCGUAAAGAGUGUGUAGGCGGUGCUCCAAGUUCGGUGUGAAAUCUCCCGGCUCAACUGGGAGGGUGCGCCGAAAACUGGAGUGCUGGAGCGCGGGAGAGGAAAGCGGAAUUCCUGGUGUAGCGGUGAAAUGCGUAGAUAUCAGGAGGAACACCGGCGGUGUAGACGGCUUUCUGGACCGUAGCUGACGCUGAGACACGAAAGCGUGGGUAGCAAACAGG
rnacentral:rRNA from 1 species